UACGGAGGAGGCAAGCGUUAUCCGGAAUUAUUGGGCGUAAAGCGUCCGUAGGUGGCUAGUCAAGUCUGCGGUCAAAGACUGGGGCUUAACCCUGGAAAGGCCGUGGAAACUGACGAGCUAGAGUGCAGUAGGGGUAGAGGGAAUUCCCGGUGUAGCGGUGAAAUGCGUAGAGCUCGGGAAGAACAUCGGUGGCGAAAGCGCUCUACUGGACUGCAACUGACACUCAGGGACGAAAGCCAGGGGAGCGAAUGGG
rnacentral:rRNA from 1 species